rnacentral:rRNA from 1 species
ACAGUGGACGCGAGCAUCUGUGGCCAAGUUUUUAAGGGCGCACGGUGGAUGCCUUGGCACCAGGAACCGAUGAAGGACGUGGGAGGCCACGAUAGUCCCCGGGGAGUCGUCAACCAGGCUUUGAUCCGGGGGUUUCCGAAUGGGGAAACCCGGCAGUCGUCAUGGGCUGUCACCCGCUGCUGAACUCAUAGGCAGUGUGGAGGGAACGCGGGGAAGUGAAACAUCUCAGUACCCGCAGGAAGAGAAAACAACCGUGAUUCCGGGAGUAGUGGCGAGCGAAACUGGAUGAGGCCAAACCGUAUGUGUGUGAUACCCGGCAGGGGUUGCGCAUGCGGGGUUGUGGGAUCUCUCUUCCACGGUCUGCCGGCCGUGGGACGAGUCAGAAACCGUUGAUGUAGGCGAAGGACAUGCGAAAGGUCCGGCGUAGAGGGUAAGACCCCCGUAGUCGAAACAUCAGCGGCUCGUUUGAGAGACACCCAAGUAGCACGGGGCCCGAGAAAUCCCGUGUGAAUCUGGCGGGACCACCCGCUAAGCCUAAAUAUUCCCUGGUGACCGAUAGCGGAUAGUACCGUGAGGGAAUGGUGAAAAGUACCGCGGGAGCGGAGUGAAAUAGUACCUGAAACCGUGUGCCUACAAGCCGUGGGAGCGUCGCGCA